rnacentral:rRNA from 1 species
GACGAACGCUGGCGGCGUGCUUAACACAUGCAAGUCGAACGGAAAGGCCCUGCUUUUGUGGGGUGCUCGAGUGGCGAACGGGUGAGUAACACGUGAGUAACCUGCCCUUGACUUUGGGAUAACUUCAGGAAACUGGGGCUAAUACCGGAUAGGAGCUCCUGCUGCAGGGUGGGGGGUGGAAAGUUUCGGCGGUUGGGGAUGGACUCGCGGCUUAUCAGCUUGUUGGUGGGGUAGUGGCUGACCAAGGCUUUGGCGGGUAGCCGGCCGGAGAGGGUGACCGGCCACCUUGCGCCUGAGGUACGGCCCAGACUCCUACGGGAGGCAGUAGUGGGGAAUCUUGCCCAAUGGGCGCAAGCCUGAUGCAGAAACGCCGCGUGCGGGAUGACGGCCUUCGGGUUGUAAACCGCUUUCGCCUGUGACGCAGCGUGAGUGACGGUAAUGGGUAAAGAAGCACCGGCUAACUACGUG